UACGGAGGAUGCAAGCGUUGUUCGGAAUCACUGGGCUUAAAGAGCAUGUAGGUGGGGUGUCAGGCGUCGGGUGAAAUCCCUCGGCUCAACCGAGGAACUGCCUGGCGAACCGGCAUUCUUGAGGCAGGUAGAGGUGGCUGGAACGACGGGUGGAGCGGUGAAAUGCGUAGAUAUCCGUUGGAACGCCGGCGGCGAAAGCGAGCCACUGGGCCUGUCCUGACGCUGAGAAGCGAAAGCAUGGGGAGCGAACAGG
rnacentral:rRNA from 1 species